GACUUGCUGAGGCAACACAGAGACGCAUUCCAAGGCCACCCACUGUACGAUGGAACUUUAAAAGUAGAACUUUCAAUGCAGUUUGGGAAAACCUGGCUGCGCUGCUCCUGUGUAUGGAGGACAUACGCACACAACCAGGAUGGAAUGAGGCAUACGGCCGGUCAAAAAAACUCCGGGACCGAGACUUUCUGCAGCUGCUGGAUUUUUUUUCAUCCUUAUGCCAGAAGUUGAUGUUUUAUACAACACUGCAAAAACAUGGAUGCAUAUGGGAUUAGCAGUGCGCUCACCCGUUUCAAGGAGAAUGUCCAGAAUAUGCGGAAGCAAACUGAUGAAUAGGCUGCCACCGUUCACGAUGGAACAGAGCCAGGCGGACGAGUAACCACACAGCGCCGGUGAAGGACUCACGCGACACGGUCAUCUCCCAGGUGGAGCAGAGGUUUUCACAAAGUGACCACCUGAUUGCUGCCAAGAUGGUUGACAGCUCGCUCUUCCCACAAUUUGUCCUGUCAUUCCCUACAUCUGAGCUUGACUGUGCGGUGAAACCAUGGGCUCUAGGAAACGAGGAAAAGUUUAAGUCUGAGCUCACCACUCUGUACCGCCACACUGAGCUUCACACUAGUAAGACGGCCCUGUCUCUGUUAAGAUCCAUCCAUGAGAACAACCUAGAGAACUGUUGCUGAGACCGUCUCUGCUGAAAAUUAUCAUAACAACACCUAGGACGAAAUCCGAGUCAGAGAGGAACUUUUCCACCUUGAAGAGGGUAAAAACAUUCACUCGCAAUACCAUGGGACAGCCGCGAGUCAACGCAUUGGCCAUGUUGUCGCUCGAAAGCCAGCUGAUUCAGAAGCUACAUGACUUCAUUCCCAAAGUCAUCGUAAAGUUUGUCCAGAGGAAGAACCGCCAUGCCACCUUUCUCUUCAAAUGAGCCCUCAGCCUUGGUUUUGCUGCAGGCCUUCUUCAGGAGCCAGUUCUGAUGGACCUCCUGGAGAGGGGUUGUCUGGUGAUCCGAAUGGGCUGUAUCCACCACCUCAUACCAGGCCUUCUUCAGGAGCCAGUUCUGAUGGACCUCCUGGAGAGGGGUUGUCUGGUGAUCCAUAUGGGAUGUGUCCACCACCUCAUACCAGGCCUUCUUCAGGAGCCAGUUCUGAUGGACCUCCUGGAGAGGGGUUGUCUGGUGAUCCAUAUGGGAUGUGUCCACCACCUCAUACCAUGCCUUCUUCAGGAGCCAGUUCUGAUGGACCUCCUGGAGAGGGGUUGUCUGGUGAUCCAUAUGGGAUGUGCCCACCACCUGAAUCCAGGCCUUGUGAUCAGAACCAAAACCCUUUAUAUGUACACAUACCCAGAAGUGUCCUGUGUAAACGUGUUUAAAGGAGCUAGAGGUUGGCAACUGGGACAGGGUAUGCAAAAUAUAUGCCAAGUUGACAUACAGUUUCAUACAGUUGGUGGUGACCCUAAAAGGUAACUGACUGCUUUUAUACAGUGAAUAUGUCAAAUACAGCACAUUCAUUUACAGUUGACUGUAUAAAUGAUUUACAGUUAUUUUCUAAUGAAUGCAUAUAUCUGCUAUGUGGGGGAGAUGAGCUCGGGGGCAGGAUAGUGCAGUGUUAGUUUUUUCAAAAAAAGGUGUAUUGACUGGUGUACCAUUCCUGGCUAGCACUGUGGUGCCCCCCCCCCCCAUUGGCAAGCACAAAACUGCAAGAAUGUCAGCAUGCUGAGCCCCCUAUUUGAUAGUAUUUUAACACAAAAUGUAAAACAAAUUCCUAAAUGCUUUGGAAACCAACUUCCUGAAAGUAUACUUUGGGCUCCAUUAGCCUUGACACGUACAGUUCUCUCCAACAUCACUGACCCCUUAAAAAUGCUACCCAAACAUCACGGUUGUUUAUCAGCUUGAUCUUGAACUCCAAUAGUAGAGAAUUCGCAUUGAACUGAGUUUUUUUCCUUAUCAAAACCCUUUUUUUUUUUAUGAAGAAAUAAAUACAUUCAAAUAUGUGUGUUCAAAUCCUUUCAGAUGUUCCAGAGUCCUUGGUCCUUGCCUGCUUACUCUCCAGUUCAGCUCACCCCACGUUUUAAAAAAUUCACAAUAGCAGCACAGUCAGUCUUACUAUAAUUAAAUAGAUUCAGUGGCCUCCGAACAUUCAGAAUGUCAAGGACCUGUUACAAAAAGAGGGGAAAAAAUACAUUCCUUGCAGAACCAAUGAAGUGUCUUUGACGCAGGCCCUCGUCAUGGUGAGGGAACAAUCAAUUUGCACACAAGCGAGACGCGUG
ensembl:lncRNA